AUGAUCCUACUGGGGAAGCACAUUUUAGAUAAUUUUCCCAAAUGUCUUUAUAGGUUAUACUUCCAGAGAAUCUGUUGCAAAACAGCGUACAGAGACCGCUGUCACUUGGGAUUCACCAGGUUAUACUUCCAGAGAACCUGUUGCAACACAGCGUACAGAGACCACUGUCACUUGGGAUUCACCAGGUUAUACUUCCAGAGAACCUGUUGCAACACAGCGUACAGAGACCACUGUCACUUGGGAUUCACCAGGUUAUACUUCCAGAGAACCUGUUGCAACACAGCGUACAGAGACCACUGUCACUUG
ensembl:lncRNA